rnacentral:rRNA from 1 species
CCCGGCCUACGGGGGGCAGCAGUGGGGAAUAUUGGGCAAUGGGCGCAAGCCUGACCCAGCAACGCCGCGUGAAGGAAGAAGGCCCUCGGGUUGUAAACUUCUUUUGUCAGGGACGAAGCAAGUGACGGUACCUGACGAAUAAGCCUCGGCUAACUACGUGCCAGCAGCCGCGGUAAUACGUAGGUGGCAAGCGUUAUCCGGAUUUACUGGGUGUAAAGGGCGUGUAGGCGGGGAAGCAAGUCAGAUGUGAAAUUCCA